AAAGAUGGCCAGACCAGAGUGAAUGCACUUGAUCUUGUCUGAUGUCAGAAGCUAAGCAGUCCUGGACCUGGAUAGCACUUGGAUCAGAGACCACCUGGGAAUCCCAGGUGCUAUAGACA
rfam:Alligator mississippiensis ScZkoYb_133, whole genome shotgun sequence.